rnacentral:lncRNA from 1 species
GUCAUUUAAAAAAAUCCUUAAAGGUCAGAAUAUGAAGUUUUUUUAACGUUUAGGUUCAGGGGUACAUGUGCAGGUUUGUUAAAUAAGUAAAUUGUGUAUCGCAGGGGUUUGAUGGACAGAUUAUUUCAUUGCCCAGGUAAUAAGCAGAGUACCUGAUAGGUAGUUUUUCAAUCCUCUCCUUCCUCCCACCCUCCAUGGCCUCAAGUGGGCCCCAGUGUCUGUUGUUCCCGUCUUUGUGUUCA